UACGGAAGGGGCGAGCGUUGUUCGGAAUCAUUGGGCGUAAAGGGCGCGUAGGUGGUUCUGUAUGUCUACCGUGAAAGCGUACGGCUCAACCGUAUUUUGUCGGUAGAAACUGCAGGACUUGAGGCUGGGAGGGGCUGGUGGAAUUCCCUGUGUAGCGGUGAAAUGCGUAGAGAUGGGGGAGAACACUCGUGGCGAAGGCGGCCAGCUAGACCAGAUCUGACACUGAGGCGCGACAGCGUGGGGAGCAAACAGG
rnacentral:rRNA from 1 species